UGGUCGAUCAGAGCAAGCAGGGGGCGACCCCCACUCCUUCAAAACCCUAGAACUUCAGAAAUCUUGCAAAUUGAAGGUUCAAUCCAAGUUCAAAUCGAAUUCUAAACAUAGAUUCCUGAUCCUCAUCACAAGGGGAUUACAAGUUUGACGCGUAACAAGCUAGGUGGAAGCUUGAUGAGGGAGCGGGUCAAACGAAUCAAGAAGGAAAGGAAAAGCGUAGUUCGGAUGCGAGGUACUUUUUGGAUGCCGGAAGACGAUCAAGCUCAAUGAAGAACCGAACACGAUAAAGACACAUGCUUCCGCACAUUGCCUCGUUGUAAAUUUUUAACGACGAACCCGAUCACGUUAUGUAGAAUAACUUAUGAUUUGUAAAAGUUUUAAUAAACCCGUAUUUCCGAUAUAUAUGUAAUCUUAAUUACAUGAUUGUUUUCGUAAAAUAUACGUUAAACCAUGGAUUAUAAGAACGGGUGU
rnacentral:lncRNA from 1 species